rnacentral:misc_RNA from 1 species
GAUGAAGAACGCAGCGAAAUGCGAUAAGUAAUGCGAAUUGCAGAAUUCAGUGAAUCAUCGAAUCUUUGAACGCACAUUGCGCCCGCCAGUAUUCUGGCGGGCAUGCCUGUCUGAGCGUCGUUUCGACCCUCGCGCCCGGCUUCUGUCGGGGGCGGUGUUGGGGAUCGGCCACACCCUUCAGUGGGAGGCCGGCCCCUAAAUUCAGUGGCGACCACGCUGUAGCCUCCCCUGCGUAGUACUAAAACCACCUCGCAGGCGGAGAGCGGUGCGGCCCGCCGUAAAACCCCCCAACUUUUACAAGGUCGACCUCAGAUCAGGUAGGAAUACCCGCUGAUCUUAAGCAAAUCAAUAAGCGGAGGA